rnacentral:rRNA from 1 species
GACGAACGCUGGCGGCGUGCUUAACACAUGCAAGUCGAACGGAAAGGCCCCUUUGGGGGUACUCGAGUGGCGAACGGGUGAGUAACACGUGAGUAACCUGCCCUUGACUUCGGGAUAACUUCAGGAAACUGGGGCUAAUACCGGAUAGGAAUCCUUGCUGCAUGGUGGGGGUUGGAAAGCUUCGGCGGUUUUGGAUGGACUCGCGGCUUAUCAGCUUGUUGGUGGGGUAGUGGCUUACCAAGGCUGUGACGGGUAGCCGGCCUGAGAGGGCGACCGGCCACAUUGGGACUGAGAUACGGCCCAGACUCCUACGGGAGGCAGCAGUGGGGAAUAUUGAACAAUGGGCGGAAGCCUGAUGCAGAAACGCCGCGUGCGGGAUGACGGCCUUCGGGUUGUAAAACGCUUUCAGCAGGGGCGAAGCUUGUGGUGACGGUACCUGCAGAAGAAGCACCGGCUAACUACGUG